UACAGAGGUCUCAAGCGUUGUUCGGAUUCAUUGGGCGUAAAGGGUGCGUAGGUGGCGCUGUAAGUCAGGUGUGAAAUUUCGGAGCUUAACUCCGAAACUGCAUUUGAUACUGCGGUGCUCGAGGACUGGAGAGGAGACUGGAAUUUACGGUGUAGCAGUGAAAUGCGUAGAGAUCGUAAGGAAGACCAGUGGCGAAGGCGGGUCUCUGGACAGUUCCUGACACUGAGGCAACGGAAGGCCAGGGGAGCAAACGGG
rnacentral:rRNA from 1 species